rnacentral:rRNA from 1 species
GAUGAACGCUGGCGGCGUGCCUAAUACAUGCAAGUCGAGCGAACAGACGAGGAGCUUGCUCCUCUGACGUUAGCGGCGGACGGGGGAGUAACACGUGGAUAACCUACCUAUAAGACUGGGAUAACUUCGGGAAACCGGAGCUAAUACCGGAUAAUAUAUUGAACCGCAUGGUUCAAUAGUGAAAGACGGUUUUGCUGUCACUUAUAGAUGGAUCCGCGCCGCAUUAGCUAGUUGGUAAGGUAACGGCUUACCAAGGCAACGAUGCGUAGCCGACCUGAGAGGGUGAUCGGCCACACUGGAACUGAGACACGGUCCAGACUCCUACGGGAGGCAGCAGUAGGGAAUCUUCCGCGAUGGGCGAAAGCCUGACGGAGCAACGCCGCGUGAGUGAUGAAGGUCUUCGGAUCGUAAAACUCUGUUAUUAGGGAAGAACAAAUGUGUAAGUAACUAUGCACGUCUUGACGGUACCUAAUCAGAAAGCCACGGCUAACUACGUG